CCCAGUUUAACCAGGCCUUAAAAUUCUAAAUAUUCCAACCGUCUCGUGUAGACUAGGUGUUAAGAUUAUUUUAUCAUCCCUGUUUUUUUUUUCUUGUUGACAACAGAAAGAAUGAUGUAUGUGAGAAUAUGAAUGUUUGUGUAUUUCUUUCUCUUCUCUCUGGCUAGUUGGUAAUUUGGGUAUCUGCCGCGCAAAAUCUACGAACUAGAAAUACAAUCUACAUAGCAGGCGAUAGAAAUAGAAAAUUAGUUUGUUAAAAUGAAGAUUGAGGAACAAUCUGAAAGAAUAAAACAAAAUAUUGUUGCCGGUUGCAUCUUAAAGAAGGCUGAACUCAGAGAAUUCCUCAUCCGUAAGCCCGCAAGAGAUGGUUCCUCUGGUGUAGAGAUGUGUGUCAUACCCUCACGUAUUGAAAUCAUCAUCAUAGUUACCGAAACCUAACAGAUCUUGAGUCAUCACCGGAAAGUUGCGUGGUCAGCGUGCAAAAUCAAUUUGACGAUUUAAUGAAUAUCGCCACACGUCAUGUUCUGUUGCUUCAAGGAGUGGUGGGUCAAAGAUUUUGGCCAGCAGUAUUCACCGAGCGCUCAUAAUAUGUUUCGAAACUCAACUAAAAAAUCCUACUUGUUUAGCUCAUAAAUAUUUCCUUUCAGUUGGCUAGUGAGUGGUUUUUUUCGAGUUGUGAUUCUCAUACAGUUAUGAACCCUCGGUGAAUACGAGCUACGGCCCCAAGAACAAAAUUAGUCCAAAGAAGCCAUUGUCAGUGUUUUUGUACUCUGUUGUGGAGAGUCGAGACUGAGGAGGAAUGGAUUUACGAAACCUCUGGAGGAGUUUGCCGAGGCCAUUUAAAUUGGGGAAGGACGUCUGAGGACUCUAUUGUUUUUCUUACCAGGCUAAAAGUCUUGUGUUUAAAGCCUCUCAUAACAAAUAAAAGGAAUAUGUAUAUUGAAUUGAUUUAUAAUUUUUUUUAAU